rnacentral:rRNA from 1 species
AUUGAACGCUGGCGGAAGGCUUAACACACGCAAGUCGAGCGAGCGGCGGACGGGUGCGUAAUGUCUGGGAAACUGCCCGAUGGCGGGGGAUAACUCCUGGAAACGGUAGCCAAUAACGCAUACUAUCAGAUGUGCCCAGAGGGGAUUAGCUAGGAGGUGGGGUAAUGGCUCACCUAGGCGACGAUCCCUAGCGGGUGUGAGAGGAUGACCAGCGACACGGGAACUGAGACGCGGUCCAGACUCCUGCGGGAGGCAGCAGUGGGGAAUAUUGCGCAAUGGGCGCAAGCCUGAUGCAGCCAUGCCGCGUGUGUGAAGAAGGCCUUCGGGUUGUAAAGCACUUUCAGCGAGGAGGCGUUACUCGCAGAAGAAGCACCGGCUAGCUCCGUGCCAGCAGCCGCGGUAAUUC